AGUGAACGCUGGCGGUAGGCCUAACACAUGCAAGUCGAACGGCAGCACAGUAAGAGCUUGCUCUUACGGGUGGCGAGUGGCGGACGGGUGAGGAAUACAUCGGAAUCUACUUUUUCGUGGGGGAUAACGUAGGGAAACUUACGCUAAUACCGCAUACGACCUACGGGUGAAAGCAGGGGAUCUUCGGACCUUGCGCGAUUGAAUGAGCCGAUGUCGGAUUAGCUAGUUGGCGGGGUAAAGGCCCACCAAGGCGACGAUCCGUAGCUGGUCUGAGAGGAUGAUCAGCCACAAUGGAACUGAGACAAGGUCCAGACUCCUACGGGAGGCAGCAGUGGGGAAUAUUGGACAAUGGGCGCAAGCCUGAUCCAGCCAUACCGCGUGGGUGAAGAAGGCCUUCGGGUUGUAAAGCCCUUUUGUUGGGAAAGAAAAGCAGCAGGUUAAUACCCCGCUGUUCUGACGGUACCCAAAGAAUAAGCACCGGCUAACUUCGUG
rnacentral:rRNA from 1 species